rnacentral:rRNA from 1 species
AAAGGGUGCGUAGGCGGCCUGUUAAGUCAGGGGUGAAAGACGGUAGCUCAACUAUCGCAGUGCCCUUGAUACUGAUGGGCUUGAAUAAACUAGAGGUAGGCGGAAUGAGACAAGUAGCGGUGAAAUGCAUAGAUAUGUCUCAGAACACCGAUUGCGAAGGCAGCUUACUAUGGUUUAAUUGACGCUGAGGCACGAAAGCGUGGGGAUCAAACAGGAUUAGAUACCCUUGU